rnacentral:rRNA from 1 species
UACGUAGGUGGCAAGCGUUAUCCGGAAUUAUUGGGCGUAAAGCGCGCGCAGGCGGUCUUUUAAGUCUGAUGUGAAAGCCCACGGCUCAACCGUGGAGGGUCAUUGGAAACUGGGGGACUUGAGUGCAGAAGGGGAGAGCGGAAUUCCACGUGUAGCGGUGAAAUGCGUAGAGAUGUGGAGGAACACCAGUGGCGAAGGCGGCUCUCUGGUCUGUAACUGACGCUGAGGCGCGAAAGCGUGGGGAGCGAACAGG